AAUGAACGCUGGCGGCAUGCCUAACACAUGCAAGUCGAACGAGACCUUCGGGUCUAGUGGCGCACGGGUGCGUAACGCGUGGGAAUCUGCCCUUGGGUUCGGAAUAACUCGCCGAAAGGCGUGCUAAUACCGGAUGAUGACGUAAGUCCAAAGAUUUAUCGCCCAAGGAUGAGCCCGCGUAGGAUUAGCUAGUUGGUGGGGCAAAGGCCCACCAAGGCGAAGAUCCUUAGCUGGGCUGAGAGGAUGAUCAGCCACACUGGGACUGAGACACGGCCCAGACUCCUACGGGAGGCAGCAGUGGGGAAUAUUGGACAAUGGGCGAAAGCCUGAUCCAGCAAUGCCGCGUGAGUGAUGAAAGCCUUAGGGUUGUAAAGCUCUUUUACCCGGGAUGAUAAUGACAGUACCGGGAGAAUAAGCCCCGGCUAACUCCGUGCCAGCCGCCGCGGUAACAC
rnacentral:rRNA from 1 species